rnacentral:rRNA from 1 species
UACAGAGGGCUCAAGCGUUGUUCGGAUUCAUUGGGCGUAAAGGGUGCGUAGGCGGCGCGGUAAGUCGGGGGUGAAAUCUCGGAGCUUAACUCCGAAACUGCAUUCGAUACUGCCGUGCUUGAGGACUGGAGAGGGGACUGGAAUUUACGGUGUAGCGGUGAAAUGCGUAGAUAUCGUAAGGAAGACCAGUGGCGAAGGCGGGUCUCUGGACAGUUCCUGACGCUGAGGCACGAAGGUCAGGGGAGCAAACGGG